rnacentral:rRNA from 1 species
CCUACGGGUGGCAGCAGUGAGGAAUAUUGGUCGAUGGGCGCGAGCCUGAACCAGCCACGUAGCGUGAAGGAUGACUGCCCUACGGGUUGUAAACUUCUUUUAUAAAGGAAUAAAGUGAGGCACGUGUGCCUUUUUGUAUGUACUUUAUGAAUAAGGAUCGGCUAACUCCGUGCCAGCAGCCGCGGUACUACGGAGGAUCCGAGCGUUCUCCGGAUUUAUUGGGUUUAAAGGGAGCGUAGAUGGGUUGUUAAGUCAGUUGUGAAAGUUUGCGGCUCAACCGUAAAAUUGCAAUUGAAACUGGCAGUCUUGAGUACAGUUGAGGUAGGCGGAAUUCGUGGUGUAGCGGUGAAAUGCGUAGAUAUCACGAAGAACUCCGAUUGCGAAGGCAGCUUACUAAACUGCCACUGACAUUGAUGCUCGAAAGUGUGGGUAGCAAACAGGAUUAGAUACCCUGGUAGUC